CCUACGGUAGGCAGCAGUGGGGAAUAUUGCACAAUGGGGGAAACCCUGAUGCAGCGCCGCCGCGUGCGUGCAGAAGUAUUUCGGUAUGUAAAGCUCUAUCAGCAGGGAAGAAACUGACGGUCCCUGAUUAAGAAGCCCCGGCUAACUACGUGCCAGCAGCCGCGGUAAUACGUAGGGGGCAAGCGUUAUCCGGAUUUACUGGGUGUAAAGUGAGCGUAGACGGUGAUGCAGGUCAGAAGUGAAGGCCCGGGGCUCAACUCCGGGCCUGCAUUUGAAACUGUGUGACUGGAGUGCAGGAGAGGUAAGCGGAAUUCCUGGGGUAGCGGUGAAAUGCGUAGAUAUCAGGAGGAACACCAGUGGCGAAGGCGGCGUACUGGACUGUAACUGACGUUGAGGCUCGAAAGCGUGGGGAGCAAACAGGAUUAGAUACCCGAGUAGUC
rnacentral:rRNA from 1 species